UAAUUGAAGAGUUUGAUCAUGGCUCAGAUUGAACGCUGGCGGCAGGCCUAACACAUGCAAGUCGAGCGGUAACAGGAGAAAGCUUGCUUUCUUGCUGACGAGCGGCGGACGGGUGAGUAAUGUAUGGGGAUCUGCCCGAUAGAGGGGGAUAACUACUGGAAACGGUGGCUAAUACCGCAUAAUGUCUACGGACCAAAGCAGGGGCUCUUCGGACCUUGC
rnacentral:rRNA from 1 species